UCGCUCGUGGGUCUGGCCUGGUUACUGCCGGGUUGAGCUUGCGAGUCGGUCUCGUGGUUGUGCUUCCUUUCUGCUGUGUCUGUUUACAGGUGUCAGCGUGACUGGUGGGCUUGCCUGCUAGUCUGUUGGCAUGCUUCUUGGUGCCUUUAAUCGGGUGUCGGAGGCGGACAGCACGUUUACUUUGAACAAAUUUGAGUGCUCAAAGCAGGCCUUUGUGCCUGAAAAUUCUUGCAUGGAAUAAUGAAAUGGGACUCUGGUUCUGUUUUGUUGGGUUUUGGAUCCGAAGUAGUGGCUAAGGGGGAUAGACUGAGGGAUUUGUAUGGCGGUGUCAGAGGUGAAAUUCUCGGAUCGUUACCAGACAUACUACGGUGAAAGUGUUUGCCGAAGAUAUUUUCAUUGAUCUUGAGCGAAAGUGAGAAGUUCGAAGGCGAUCAGAUGCCCCCCUAGUUGUGGCCAUAAAUGAAGCCAACUGACCAUCCGCGGUGGUUCCUUUUGUGUCCUCAAAGGCAGUCCCCGGGAGACCCUCAAGUCUUUGGGCUCCUGGGGAAGUACGAUUGCAAAGCUGAAACUUAAAGAAACUGACGGGAGGGCAUCACCAGGAGUAGAGCCUGCGGCUUAAUUCGACUCAACGCGAGAAAACUCAACCGGGUCGGACACUGUGAGGACUGACAGAUUGACAGGUCUUUUUGAUUCGAUGGUUGAUGGUACAUGGCCGUUCUUAGUUCGUGGAGCGAUUUGUCUGGUUAAUUCCGAUAACGAACGAGAUUCUGGCCCGCUAAAUAGUAUGCCUGUCCUCUGUGCUCGCGCAGGUUGCAUCGUCCAUUGCCUCCUCGUGGGGUAGUGGUUACGCUGGCCGGCGGGCGCUGCGCAUGUACUCACUUCUUAGGAAAACAAGCGGCAUUCAGUCUCACGAAAUUGAAAAAUAACAGACCUGUAGAGCACUUAGAUGUCCGGGGCCGCUUGUGCGCUACCACGACGCUUUCGGCAAGUUUGGAAUCCUGGCCUAAGCAGGUUGGGUAAACUGUAUCACAACCGUCGUGGCUGGGAUCGGAGCUAACAGUCGUUCCCCGUGAACGGGGAAUUCCUGGUGAAUGCAAGUCAUAAUCUUGCUCUAAUUACUUCCCUGCCCCUUGUACACACCACCCGUCGCUACUACCGAUUGGAUGGUUUAACAAGGUUCUCGGAUUGGUGCCUUUGUAGCGGCCCGGUCGCUCGACCGGUGCUGAGGAGACGACCAAACUUGAUCACUUAGAGGAAGUAAACGUCGUAACAAGGUCUCCGUAGGUUAACCUGUGGAAG
rnacentral:rRNA from 1 species